rnacentral:rRNA from 1 species
GACGAACGCUGGCGGCGUGCCUAAUACAUGCAAGUCGAACGCAGUGGGUACGGGUGAGUAACACGUGGGUAACCUCCCAUCAGAGGGGAAAACACUUGGAACAAGGUGCUAAUCCGAAACUGCUGGGUGGAACCGCAGUGCAUUGGCUAGUUGGGGGGGGAACGGCUCACCAAGGCCACGAUGGAUAGCGGACCGGAGAGGGUGAUCAGCCACACGGGGACUGAGACACGGCCCAGACUCCUACGGGAGGCAGCAGUAGGGAAUCUUCGGCAAUGGACGAAAGUCGGAUCGAGCAACGCCGCGUGAGUGAAGAAGGUUUUCGGAUCGUAAAGAUCUGUUGUUGGAGAAGCGGUAUCGAACCAGAAAGCAACGGCUAACUACGUGCCAGCGGCCGCGGUAAUUC